AUUGAACGCUGGCGGCAUGCCUUACACAUGCAAGUCGAACGGUAACAGGUCUUCUGAUGCUGCCGAGUUGCGUACGGGUGAGUAAUACAUCGGUACGUGCCCAGACGUGGGGGCUAACGGGUCGAAAGCUUUGCUAAUACCUCAUACGAUCUAAGGAUGAAAGCAGGGGACCGCAAGGCCUUGCGCGUUUGGAGCGGCCGAUGGCAGAUUAGGUAGUUGGUGGGAUAAAAGUUUACCAAGCCGACGAUCUGUAGCUGGUCCGAGAGAACGACGAGCCAGAUGGGAACUGAGAAACGGCCCAGACUCUUCGGGGAGGCAGCAGUCGGGACUUUUGCGCAAUGGGAGAAAGCCUGAUACAGCAAUGCAGCGUGCAGGAUGAAGGCCUUCGGGUGCUAAACUGCUUUUGUACGGAGAGAAAAGGCUCUGGAUAAUACGUGAGGAUCAUGACAGUACCGCAAGAAUAAGCACCGGCUAACUACGUG
rnacentral:rRNA from 1 species